CCAGGUGUUACAGUGGCUCCAGGUGUUACAGUGGCCAGUGGCUCCAGGUGUUACAGUGGCCAGUGGCUCCAGGUGUUACAGUGGCUCCAGGUGUUACAGUGGCUCCAGGUGUUACAGUGGCCAGUGGCUCCAGGUGUUACAGUGGCUCCAGGUGUUACAGUGGCUCCAGGUGUUACAGUGGCCAGUGGCUCCAGGUGUUACAGUGGCCAGUGGCUCCAGGUGUUACAGUGGGCAGUGGCUCCAGGUGUUACAGUGGCUCCAGG